GUCACUGUUUCCAUCAUUUCCCCUUCUAUUUGCCAUGAAAGGAUGGGAACAGAUGGCAUGAUCUUAGUUUUCUGAAUGUUGAGCUUUAAGCCAACUUUUUCACUCUCCUCUUUCACUUUCAUCAAGAGGCUUUUUAGUUCUUCUUACUUUCUGCCAUAAGGGU